rnacentral:rRNA from 1 species
GACGAACGCUGGCGGCGUGCCUAAUACAUGCAAGUUGAGCGAUGAAGCUUGGUGCUUGCACCAAUUUGAAGAGCAGCGGACGGGUGAGUAACGCGUGGGUAAUCUGCCUUUGAGCGGGGGACAACAUUUGGAAACGAAUGCUAAUACCGCAUAACAACUUUAAACAUAAGUUUUAAGUUUGAAAGAUGCAAUUGCAUCACUCAAAGAUGAUCCCGCGUUGUAUUAGCUAGUUGGUGAGGUAAAGGCUCACCAAGGCGAUGAUACAUAGCCGACCUGAGAGGGUGAACGGCCAAAUCGGGAAUGGGAACAGGCCCAAAACCCUAAGGGAGGGAGCCGGAGGGAAACUUCGGGCAUGGAGGAAAGGCCGAACGGGCAAAGGCGGGGGAGGGAAGAAGGUUCUCGGAUCGUAAAAACUCGUUGGUAGAGAAGAAAGUUGGUGAGAGUGGACAGCUCAUCACGUGACGGUACCUACCCAGAAAGCGACGGCUAACUACGUG